rnacentral:rRNA from 1 species
CCCUAGAGGAGCCUGUUCCAUAAUCGAUAAACCCCGAUCCACCUCACCCUCUCUUGCUUAGCCUAUAUACCGCCAUCUUCAGCAAACCCUGAUAAAGGUUACAAAGUGAGCACAAACGCCCUGCCGCCGCAAAAACGUUAGGUCAAGGUGUAGCCAAUGAAAGGGUAAAAAUGGGCUACAUUUUCUACAUCAGAAAACUCCACGAAAACUCUUAUGAAACCUGAGAGUCCAAGGAGGAUUUAGCAGUAAAUUAAGAAUAGAGUGCUUAAUUGAACCAGGCCAUAAAGCGCGUACACACCGCCCGUCACUCCCCUCAAAUAUAUUUAAGGAACAUUUUAACUAAACGCCCUAAUAUUUAUAUAGAGGGGAUAAGUCGUAACAUGGUAAGUGUACUGGAAGGUGCACUUGGAC